AGGCCUAACACAUGCAAGUCGAGCGGUAGAGAGGUGCUUGCAUCUCUUGAGAGCGGCGGACGGGUGAGUAUGCCUAGGAAUCUGCCUAGUGGUGGGGGAUAACGUUCGGAAACGGACGCUAAUACCGCAUACGUCCUACGGGAGAAAGCGGGGGGAUCUUCGGACUCGCGCCAUUAGAUGAGCCUAGGUCGGAUUAGCUAGUUGGUGAGGUAAUGGCUCACCAAGGCGACGAUCCGUAACUGGUCUGAGAGGAUGAUCAGUCACACUGGAACUGAGACACGGUCCAGACUCCUACGGGAGGCAGCAGUGGGGAAUAUUGGACAAUGGGCGAAAGCCUGAUCCAGCCAUGCCGCGUGUGUGAAGAAGGUCUUCGGAUUGUAAAGCACUUUAAGUUGGGAGGAAGGGUAGUAACCUAAUACGUUGCUACUUUGACGUUACCGACAGAAUAAGCACCGGCUAACUUCGUG
rnacentral:rRNA from 1 species